UACGAAGGGGGCUAGCGUUGCUCGGAAUGACUGGGCGUAAAGGGCGCGUAGGCGGCGAUCACAGUCAGAUGUGAAAUUCCUGGGCUUAACCUGGGGGCUGCAUUUGAUACGUGGUUGCUUGAGUGGGGAAGAGGGUCGUGGAAUUCCCAGUGUAGAGGUGAAAUUCGUAGAUAUUGGGAAGAACACCGGUGGCGAAGGCGGCUCACUGGCUCGUAACUGACGCUCAUGCACGACAGCGUGGGGAUCAAACAGG
rnacentral:rRNA from 1 species